GCACUUUGACGUGCUUUUGAACUGCUAGGUUGGCAGGAGCUGGGAUAGAGCAAUGGGAGCUCACCCCGUUGCAGGGAUUCGAACCGCCGACCUUCAAAUCGGCAAGCCCAAGAGGCUCAGUGGUUUAGACCACAGCGCCACCCACGUCCUUUAUGUAAAAUCUACCCACACUAAACAAACUACUUCCAUAUGCUUUAUUUAACCUCCAACUCCAACAGGUGGUGGUGAAACCACAAAUGUCCACACACUUGCCACAUGUAGACAAGCCUAACUGACUUUGCCAAAUUAUAUACCCACAUUCCUUGCUUUUUCCUGUUAUCCUCCAGAACUAUAGAGCUAACAUAUAUGCCUUUAGGAGCAAAUGCGGCUCCUUCCCUUCUAUAUUUUGUCUGCCCUUGUAAUAACCCCAGAUCAAGGUACUCUUCCCAUAUUUGGAUAGGGAAUGUUGGCUACAAGUGUCUUGGUAAAGUCACACUGAAUAGGUGGCAGGAAAUUAAUGUGUUCAUGGAGCGAAAAUCUUCAACAUAUGCAUUUGAAAAUAUAGUUUGUUGAUGUUGAUGAGAGGUAACUGCCGCAUGCCCAUGAUAAAUGGAAUGAGAGAAAAGCAGAAACAGAAACAGAAGGUAAGAGAAAUACAGUGGUACCUUGGUUUAUGAACUUAAUCUGUUCCAGAAGUCUGUUCUUAAACCAAAGCGUUCUUAAACCAGGGCGUGCUUUCCCAUAGCAGCGGGGGACUCGAUUUACAAAUGGAGCACAAUCAACAGGAAGUGGAACAUGUUCUGCUUCCAAGGCAAAAUUCACAAACCAAAACACCUACUUCCGGGUUUGCAGUGUUCUUAAUCCAAGUUGUUCAUAAACUAAGCUGUUCUUAAACCAAGGUACCACUGUAGUAAAAAUGAGGGGUAGGGUAUAGGCAGCAGGAAAACAGAAGGUCAGAAUUAAGGCAAAGAAAAAUAAGAUCAGAAGGCAGGGGGGAGGGAAAAGACAAGAUAACAGAACAUGGUGAAUGAGAAAUAAAAGAAGGAGGAAAUAGAAAUUUCAAAGCAAAACAAGAAAGGUGGUGAGAAAAGCAAGAGAUCAAAUAAACACACUUUCAGGGCUGGAUAUGCACUGGAGAAUGAAACAGAAGGUGAAAAGCGGGGGUUAGCCGCAACAUGGAAAUCUAGAAGGCAAAGGAAAUGGGGCUGCAAAAAAGCUGACUGGUUGUUAGAUGGGUAAACAGCCAAAAACGAUAGAACAGGGAGAGAAAGAAUAGGACCAAGCCACAGAGACACUCUGAAUACUGCUUUGGGGAAAUAAUCUGCUGUUAUAUCUGACAGAGCCAGAUAGUUCUUCAGCCUGUGCAGGGAAGUAACAAGCAAACUGUUCAGCCAAGCAACAAGACACAAGAAGAUACCCGAGACCAAUGGAGGCCUAUUUUGUGCAGAAUGCUGCCAGAAGUGUAUAAAGACUAGAUCUUUGCAACUCCCAGUCCCAACCCAUUUUUCAAGGGUUCUCCAGAAGGGUCAGCAUCAGAAUUUCAUCACAGGCUAGGGAACCACAUGAGAUAAUCUGUUAAGACUGGCUAGCACACAAAAAGCCAGCUCAAGAUUACUUCACACAUCGCUACCAUAUUAAGUACAGUGGUAGGUUCAGGUAGCUUCAGGCAUUGUAAGCCACAUCAGUUGUGUCCCACUUGCAUGUCUAGUUCCCAUGGAUAAUAAAGCUGCUGAUACUUUAAUUGAUAAUGAUGGCAGAUGCUGAUAUUCUUCUUUGCCACUGUCCUUGCAACAACUGGCAAAAAUGCAUGUUUUAAUUAGUGAUCUUUGCCAGUAAAGUUAGCCUGCACCGAAGCAGCUCUUUUUAAAGCAGAGAGUCAACAAGAAAUUAAAUAAAGGGAUAUUUAUUUUGGCAACCACAUUUAGAUUAACACUGAAUGGGUAGCAAUGGGUAGCUGAGGACAAAUAAGUGGUUCAUAAAUUAACGAAAUAAUAAUAUCUCUUUCACAUAAGUAUCAAGGUGAUUUAAUGUCAAACAAUUUAAAAAGCAAAAAUAGGUCAAAACAACAACUAAGGAUUGAUUUUAAAACAAUACUUGAAGCUCCAAGGCCUAAAAUGUUCACCAAUAACAUGUACAAAAGGGCAGGCCCAGCUCAAAAGAUGAGGCCUACUAGGUAGGUAAGGGAUAAAGUGGUCUCUAAAGUAUUAUGUUUCCAAGUGCACUCUCCCUGUAUCAGCAAAUGUAGCAAUCUAAAUAUAUAUAUAUAUUUAUCUUUGUCUCCAAUACAUUCAAUAAAAUAUAUUGUUUGCA